CCAAGGCAAACCAUGCUGGAUGUUUGUGAC
rnacentral:piRNA from 1 species